rnacentral:lncRNA from 1 species
UUCAGACUAUGCAGUUUGAUUCAAAUCAAUAUCUGCUUUUGAUGAACUUAGAAUGUCAUUCUAUUCGGAGACCAAAUCAUAACGCAACUCAAUGUAAUGCAGGCAGUUGCUAUGUCUAUCAAUAAGUAGGGAUAUUGUGUUGCUGGUGUAGAUUUGCACACAUCAUUGCUGUAGUUUCCUGUACAGAGCCACACUCUUUGCAAAAUCGUUCAUACUUGUGCCCUGGAACCUUGCUAACAUCUGUAUUGACAAGGGCAGUCAGUUCUGCCCUCAUUAGUCAGAGAUUUUGCAAGUACUUGUCUGAACCUGUUGACUGUUGUACUAGAACUUAUAGUAUGUCUACGGCAGAUACUCAGUACAUGUUCACAUACCAGUUUUUAUACUCUGAUCAAAAUGUUUAGACUAUGCAGUUUGGUUCAAGUAAAGAUCUGCUUUUGAUUAACUUAGAAUGUCAUUCUAUUCCAGAGUCCAAAUUGGAACGCAAAUCAAUGUAAAAAAGGCAGUUGCUAUGUCUAUCAAUUUAAGUAUGGAUAUUGGGUUGCUUGCUGGUGUAGAUUUGUACAUAUCGUUACUGUCGUUUCCUGUACAGAGCCGUACUCUUUGCAAAAUCGUUCAUACUUGCGCCCUGGAACCUUGCUAACCUCUGUUUCUGAACC